GAUUGGUGUAGCUGACCCCAAUUAACUAGGAUAAGGCUCAAAUCAUGAUAUAUAAACACAAACAAAAAACCUAUACUUGAAAAGCAUUUUCUGCACAUGCCAGUAAUCUUGCUACUAAGGAUUUCCCUGGCUCAAAAAUCAGGCUGGUUCAUCCAUUAGGUGGCUGUGUUUUGUAUGUUGCAUAUAGACAAGUGGUUAUUUAUUAGUCCUUUUUGUUCAUACAUAUGCGUUGCCUGCAUAGGAGUAGACCAGCCUGAUUUUGGGCUGGGGUAUGUAUGCCUGAUCCAAUGAAUGGCCUGGAUUUUACACAUGGGCAGAGCCUUGAAACAUAUCCUGUGAGGAUCCUCUUCGCUCCUUUGAUUAAUCUCCUUCUAAUUUCUUUUUAUAGUAUUGAUACUUGGAAAUGUCUAGGAAUCCAAUCUGUGCUCUACCAAUCAAGCAUGCUGAUAAGAUCUGCAAAUCUUUCUUUACAUGCCUUCUGCAAAGUCCUCCCUUAAUUUGGAGCUGAUGGCAUCAAGAGAUCUGAAGAAUCUAAUGAAUGGUGAAGUUUACUUGUCAAGUAAACUGCAUUCAUUUGUUUGCUAGUUGGGGAGGAUAUUGAUGGUAGAUGUUCGUCGCGAUAUUGCAUCUUCUUAGAAGCGAAUCCAUCUAUUUUCAGUUUGGAAUUCUCUAAUGAGGCAAUGAUAGACUCUGGGGUUUUGGUUACCUAUAACUCGAACAAUGGAAGAGGGGAAAAAUGUACUUUUAUCUUUCUCAAAUCACCUAAUUGUGCCCCACAAUGGAUGGCCGAUGCCCCAAGAAGCACUCUGACUGGAGGUGCAACUCGGGCGGUUUGGGUCGGGUUGAGGUUCGACCACAGCCCAACCUGACCUCAAGAGGACGAACCCGCAACCCAACCCAACCUGAAUUCCAACCUGUUAGGCUAUACCCGACCCUGAAGUCCUCUGUACUCGACCCAACCCGAACUGACCCGACCCAAAUCCACGUGAUCAUUCCCAACCUAACCUGACCCAACCCGAAUUUGCUCAACGAACCCAACAUGAAUUCAAAUCAGGUUGGCACUUUCCAACACAAACCUGACCAGAGGACCUUGACAACGGAAAUCAAUCUGAACCGCACUUGGGUUGGUUCAAUUGCAGCUGCAACUCUGACAAGACAGUAUUAACCCUUCCAUUGGUACCUUUCAAAUGGAUGACCAGUAAAAGAAAUACAGCAAUGGUCGACAUUCAAACGAAAAAAAGUGUCUGGUUGGGUUGGGUUGAGGUUUGACCAGAGCCCAACCCGACCUCAAGAGGACAAACCCGCAACCCAACCCAACCUGAAUUCCAACCUGUUAGGCUGUACCCAACCCCAAAGUCCUCUAUACUUGACCCAACCUAACCUGACCCAACCCAAAUCCACAUGAUUAUUCCCAACCUAACCUAACGCAACCCAACCCAAAUUUGCUCGGCAAACCCAACUUGAAUUCAAAUCGGGUUUGGCAUUUUUCAACACAAACCUGACCCUAGGACCUUGACAAUGGAAAUCAAUCCAAACGGCACUCGGGUUGGGUCAAUUGCAGCUGUAACUCUGAUAGGACAGUAUUAACCCUUCCAUUGGUACCAUGCAAAUAGAUGACCGGGAAAAGAAAUACAGCAUGGUCAACAUUCAAAUGAAAGAAAG